rnacentral:rRNA from 1 species
GAUGAACGCUGGCGGCGUGCCUAAUACAUGCAAGUCGAGCGAACAGACGAGGAGCUUGCUCCUCUGACGUUAGCGGCGGACGGGUGAGUAACACGUGGAUAACCUACCUAUAAGACUGGGAUAACUUCGGGAAACCGGAGCUAAUACCGGAUAAUAUAUUGAACCGCAUGGUUCAAUAGUGAAAGACGGUUUUGCUGUCACUUAUAGAUGGAUCCGCGCCGCAUUAGCUAGUUAGUAAGGUAACGGCUUACCAAGGCAACGAUGCGUAGCCGACCUGAGAGGGUGAUCGGCCACACUGGAACUAAGACACGGUCCAGACUCCUACGGGAGGCAGCAGUAGGGAAUCUUCCGCAAUGGGCGAAAGCUUGACGGAGCAACGCCGCGUGAGUGAUGAAGGUCUUCGGAUCGUAAAACUCUGUUAUUAGGGAAGAACAAAUGUGUAAGUAACUAUGCACGUCUUGACGGUACCUAAUCAGAAAGCCACGGCUAACUACGUG